GGGAGAAGGAGCGGUGCCCCUGCUCGGGGCUCUGCACGGUGCCCACAGCCAGGGGCUCGUGCACAGGGCUGCUCUGUGGCUUGGCCAGCUGGGCCCGAGCUAUCCCAGUGCCCCCGCUGACACUGGGCGACUCUGAGAGGGACAUGGGGAUCUGAGCAUCAGAGGAGCUGGGGCUCCAGAUGUCAGUGGUGGAUUUGUCACUGAUCCAGAUGGGGCUGGGUCCCAGGUCAGUUCAACUGAGCAAUGAGCACUUCCUGUGAAGCAAGAGCACUUCCUGGGCACAUCAAGGAGGGCCUGAGUGAGGCAGGUUCUGGGCCCCUGGAAACAUCCACCUCAUCUGGUGCAAAUAAGCAGCUGGAGAAAGAGGCACAAAGUGAAGCCUGAGGCCUCCCUGAAGAAGGUUGUGGAGAUGAUAGAGGACUGGACGCAGAGACGACGAGGAAGGGCAUCCAGGUUCUGGGGAUACAAGGAAGACUUAGGAACGAACCAUCCUGCUCAGGUUGCUCACCGUCCAGUUGGGGAAACCACCGAGAUAUGGAUAUUCACAGAGGUGGAGAGAAAGGGGCUCCCCUGCUUCCUGGCUGUGUGGCCUCAGGCAAGUUGCACCACUUCUCUGAGCCUCAGUUCCUCAUCUGUACAGUAAAGAGGACAAAUGUCUCACAGGGUGGUAGUAAGGGUAGAGUGAGGUGGCCCAUGUAACAGGUGAGGACAGAGCCUGGCACGUGUUCUGGGCUCAGAACAUGUUCUCCACUAGCUGCUCUAGGGCAGAGCUGAAGGAGCAAGUAAUUCUGUCUGGAAAAGCCUUUAGUAGAGACAUAAAUCCUGGGCUUUGAAGGAUGCAUAGGAGUUGGGAGGAAGGGAUACAACUGGAGCAAA